rnacentral:rRNA from 1 species
ACUCCUACGGGAGGCAGCAGUGGGGAAUAUUGCACAAUGGGCGCAAGCCUGAUGCAGCCAUGCCGCGUGUAUGAAGAAGGCCUUCGGGUUGUAAAGUACUUUCAGCAGUGAGGAAGGCGGUGACGUUAUAACGUGCUCUUUGACGUUAGCUGCAGAAGAAGCACCGGCUAACUCCGUGCCAGCAGCCGCGGUAAUACGGAGGGUGCGAGCGUUAAUCGGAAUUACUGGGCGUAAAGCGCAUGCAGGUGGUUUGUUAAGUCAGAUGUGAAAGCCCGGGGCUCAACCUCGGAAUAGCA